AUGCAAAGGGUUGGGGAGGAGCGUCGACAGCUCAGCGUCCUCCAGGCGCGGGCAAGGAGGAGCUCCGGCGGCGGGCAUCGCAGUAGGAGCUCGGGCCUCAGGUGCGGGAGGCGUGAACAUGAUCGAGGGGAGGCUCGGGCAAGGACGGGUCAACGCAGGCAGCUCCGACCGGGAUCCUCCGGAUCGAACAUAGCAGGGGAUGGAGGGACCCUGGGGCAGCUCGAUUUGGUCAGUGGCGGAGCCGAAGGCGCCGGGAACGAUGGCGACAGGAGCUGGGAGCGGGCGAGGGACUCCGGCGACGAGGCAAGGCGGUGGCCACAGGCUUGGACGCACGAGGCUAGAGAUGGCGGGGCAUGA
rnacentral:rRNA from 1 species